CGUGGAGACAGGUGGUGCAUGGCUGUCGUCAGCUCGUGUCGUGAGAUGUUGGGUUAAGUCCCGCAACGAGCGCAACCCUUACCCCUUGUUGCCAUCAGGUCAUGCUGGGCACUCUAGGGGAACUGCCCCGGUCAACGGGGAGGAAGGUGGGGACGACGUCAAGUCAUCAUGCCCCUUACGUCCUGGGCUACACACGUGCUACAAUGGCCGGUACAAAGGGAUGCAAAAUCGCGAGGUGGAGCCAAACCCAGAAAGCCGGUCUAAGUUCAGAUUGGAGUCUGCGACUCGACUCCAUGAAGGAGGAAUCGCUAGUAAUCGCGCAUCAGCACGGCGCGGUGAAUACGUUCCCGGGCCUUGUACACACCGCCCGUCACACCACGAAAGCCAGCUGUACUCGAAGUCGCUGAG
rnacentral:rRNA from 1 species